rnacentral:rRNA from 1 species
GAUGAACGCUAGCUACAGGCUUAACACAUGCAAGUCGAGGGGCAGCAUGAACUUAGCUUGCUAAGUUGAUGGCGACCGGCGCACGGGUGAGUAACACGUAUCCAACCUGCCGAUAACUCGGGGAUAGCCUUUCGAAAGAAAGAUUAAUACCCGAUGGCAUAAUUCUUCCGCAUGGUAGAACUAUUAAAGAAUUUCGGUCAUCGAUGGGGAUGCGUUCCAUUAGGUUGUUGGCGGGGUAACGGCCCACCAAGCCUUCGAUGGAUAGGGGUUCUGAGAGGAAGGUCCCCCACAUUGGAACUGAGACACGGUCCAAACUCCUACGGGAGGCAGCAGUGAGGAAUAUUGGUCAAUGGACGAGAGUCUGAACCAGCCAAGUAGCGUGAAGGAUGACUGCCCUAUGGGUUGUAAACUUCUUUUAUACGGGAAUAAAGUGAGGCACGUGUGCCUUUUUGUAUGUACCGUAUGAAUAAGGAUCGGCUAACUCCGUG